rnacentral:misc_RNA from 1 species
UUUUCGCUAUUUCAAUAGUAUAUUUCUUCAGACACGGUUUUUAAAGCAAGAUUCUUAUGAUCCUCUGGCGGGGGCACGCUAGCCCCGGGCGAAGGGGACCAGCGGGACCAUUUCUGGCCACGCCCCGCCAAAGCAACUCAAGGUAUGUUCACAAAGGGUGGGAGGUCUGGGGGCCAAAAAAGGCACCCCGGGCUCUCUUUUAAUGAUCCUUCCGCAGGUUCUAAAAGACGUAGUUAGUAUUCGAUUUCCUUUUUAUUUGAGUUUGGAGCCAGUUUACUUACCACCUACGGAAA